AUAUUGGACAAUGGGUGAAAGCCUGAUCCAGCCAUCCCGCGUGAAGGAUGACGGUCCUAUGGAUUGUAAACUUCUUUUGUAUAGGGGUAAACCUAGAUACGUGUAUCUAGCUGAAGGUACUAUACGAAUAAGCACCGGCUAACUCCGUGCCAGCAGCCGCGGUAAUACGGCGGGUGCAAGCGUUAUCCGGAUUUAUUGGGUUUAAAGGGUCCGUAGGCGGACCGAUAAGUCAGUGGUGAAAUCUCAUAGCUUAACUAUGAAACUGCCAUUGAUACUGUCGGUCUUGAGUAAAUUAGAGGUAGCUGGAAUAAGUAGUGUAGCGGUGAAAUGCAUAGAUAUUACUUAGAACACCAAUUGCGAAGGCAGGUUACCAUGAUUUAACUGACGCUGAGGGACGAAAGCGUGGGUAGCGAAC
rnacentral:rRNA from 1 species